GAUAAGAUGAUAUACUAUAUGCAUUCCUAAUAUGUAACUAUGUUCUCUCUUCCAUUGUGCAUAUGUAUUAUGUACUAUCAGUUACUCCUUUUUGUUAGUCUAUGGAAUAUCAAUUACUUAUCAUUUUCCAAUCUACCAUUUAAUUAAAAUGACAUGUACAUUAAGAGAAUAGGAGAUAUAAAGUUGAUCUACUUUUGGGUCUUAAAAAUAUAAAAUUGAUCAUCUAGCCCUUAUAACAACAAAUGCAAGUAAAAAAAAACAAAUAUGUGAUAAAAGGGUGAACCUGAGAGAAAGUAGAAAGCACACCACGGAGGCUAUAAUGAAGAAGUGUUCUAACAUCUUCAAUAGGAGAUAGCCUAGCAGCCUUUUCCUGAAACAUUUCAGAAUCACAAUACAUUCAGCUGAGCUUGGAUUCCUCUAUGCCUAAACAUAAACACCAUUAAAAGAUAAUAUUGACACCUGAUGAGCUUGAAUCAACUGAAAGAUAUCAACCUCAUCACCAGAUGAUACAUUCUGAACAAAAAAAACGAAAUUAAGAAUAAUUUUGAUCAACACAAGUAUUUGAAAUUUGAUAAAAAAAAAAAACUAAAUCUGGAAAAUAAAAUUAGUCAACCUGAGAAGCCAUGGCGAGAAGAGGACGAAUUGAGGUUAGUGAGGAAAAGGAUUUAGAUGGAGACGGAGAAAGAAGGUAGUUAUGAGUAGCAUUAUUGUUGAGAUUAGGGUAUAGAAAGCGUGAAAAUGGGGAAAAGGUGCGUAGAGGUGUAGGAGCUAAUACAAGAGUCUUCAUCUUUGACACUCAAAAACUCCCUCGACCCUCUCCAAUUCUAUCCGGAGACGUGAGAUGCAGGCUACAUCUGACUUGGCUAUUGCUCCUGCUAGGUUAACACAAAAUCUAAUCCACCCCAAAUUUAUUUUUUUUAUGUACCACUAUUAGGACGUAUUCAUGAGUUGGUUUGAAAAAAUUAAUCAAAAUACAAUUAAUUUAAUUAGAUAUUACAUUAUUUUACACCAAAAUCAAAUCAAAUCAAUUUAUCCAGUUUGAUUUUUUUACCAACUUUGAUUCAGUUUGAUUCGAUUGUUCAUUUAUUAAUCAUAAGCCAAAGUAAAAGAAACGAGUACCUUGCACACACCUUAAUUGUUCCAUCGAGUACCUUUUACCUCCUACCAAUACAUCUAGACAAUAUUUUUCUUUAUAAUUGUAGUGUCUGGACUAGCUUGUGGACACUUUGAUUAUUUCAUGGAGUACCUUGUACCUCACAUUAUGCAACUUGACAAUAUUCUUCUUUAUAACGGUAGCGUCUAGACUAGCUACCGUACACCUCGAGUAUUUCAUUGAGUAUCUUCUACCUCCUACAAAUGCGCAUCUAGACAACAUUUUUAGUGGGGUUUUGAAGGAGCCGGUUUGUCGGAGAUGGGGUUAUUAUUGUUCAUCUGAGAUCUAGUCUGUCGAAGCUGCUUCGUCUGGGUUUGUGCGAGCUUAAAGCUCGUUGGUUCGUGAUGGGUUUCACUAGAAAAGAGAUGUUUGGUGGUUAACAGUGACAAGGGAGAAGAACAAAGGUGGUAAGGAUGGAAGUUUGUGGUAAUGGUUUAGAUUGUUGUAGUGACCGGUGGUUUAUGGAUUGGUGGUUUGAUGGUGGUUUGUGGUGUUCGGUCGGUGUGAAGGAAGAAGAAAAAGAGUUAGGCGGAAUGGUGGUGGAUGAUUAUUUGAGAAGGAAAUACAAUUUUUUUGGUGCCUCCUCACAAAGGGGUUGUAGUGAUUAGACCCGAACGAAUAUUUACCAAAAUCACAAGUCUACAUAAAGUCAUAAGACCAUGUAUGGGGAUGACACAUGUCAGUGCCAGAAAGAUGGGGAUGACACAUGUCAGUGCCAGAAAGUUAAGGAAGUUGGUGACCUAAUGACAGGGGAGCCGAGGAUCGAAGCCCCGGUGAACAGCGAUCCUACCUAUAACGGUCCUAAGGUAGCAUAAUUCAUUAUUGGGUAAGUUUUGACCCGCACGAAAGGCGUAAUGAUCUGGGCACUAUCUCAGAGAGAGGCUUGGUGAAUAGACAUACCUAUGAAGAUGCGGACUACCUACACCUGCACUUGGACAGAAAGACACUAUGAAUCUUCAUUGAUCCUUAGGAUUGGCUUUGGGCCUUUCAUGCGCAGCUUAUGUAGAAGGCGACGAAGGCCUCCUUCCGGGGGGCGGGCUGAGCCAUCAGUGAGAUACCACUUUGGAAGGCCAACAUUUUAACCUUGUGUUCUAUAGGGCGUAAGCCUAAAGGGUGACAGAGGCAUGCAAAGGUUUCCUUGGGCUAGACAAAGAUUGGCCCUCAAGUGCAAAGGUAGAAGAGAGUUUGACUGCUAAACCCACCCGUCGAACAGGGACGAAAGUCGGCCUUAGUGAUUCGAUGGUGUCGAGUGGAAGGGCCAUCACACGACAGAUAAAAGUUACUCUAGAGAUAACAUACUGAUCUUCCCCGAUAUCUCAUAUCGAUGAAAAGGUUUGACACUUUGAUGUUGGGUCUUCGCCACCUAGAGUUGUAGUAUGUUCCAAAGGUUGGAUUGUUUGCCCACUAAAGAGGUACGUGAGUUGGGUUCAGAACAUUGUGAGAUAGUUCGGUCCAUAUCUGGUGAGGGCGUUAGAGUGUUGAGAGGAUCUUUCCAUUGUACGAGAGAACAAGAAAGGACGUACCUCUAGUGUACCAGUUAUCAUACCCACGGUAAACGUUGGGUAGCCAAGUGCAGAGCAGAUAACUGCUGAAAGCAUCUUAGUAGUAAGCCCACCCCAAGAAUAGUGCUCUCCUAUUCCAACUUCCCCAGAUCUUCCAGUAGCACAACCGAGACAAUGAUAGGUUCUCUGCCCUUGUGAGGAUGGAGCGACAUAAGUUGUUUUGUGAAUUCAAGAGAAGGUCACGACGAGAUGAGUCGUUUAUCAUUGUGAUAGGUGUCAAAGUGGAAAUGCAGUGAUGUAUGCAGCUGAGGCAUCCUAACAGACUGGUAGACUUGAAA
rnacentral:rRNA from 1 species